rnacentral:rRNA from 1 species
CCAAAGGUUCCAAGAGGUCAAAAAGGUUCCAAAUGGGUAUUCACUAUAAAGGAUAAGACUCUAUAUAAGGCACGGUAAGGCACCCACUAAAAGACAAUUCAACCAAGUCAAAUGCUAUAACUGUGGAGGAAUAGGACACUACCAGACUGAAUGCCCACUGAAAACNACGGUAAGGCACCCACUAAAAGACAAUUCAACCAAGUCAAAUGCUAUAACUGUGGAGGAAUAGGACACUACCAGACUGAAUGCCCACUGAAAACGUCUAAAGAUUAUGUAUCAAAUACACAGAAUAAUCUGUACAUAUCACAAGAAGUGGUUUUUGUAUGGGAUUCAGGAAGUCCAGUGCAUAUUGAGAACCGACUAAAUUACUUCCAGACAUUUGUUGAAGACACCCGUCUGUUCUCGGCCGCAAAUGAUACACCCAAGAACAGAAGUCUUAUUAACAAAGGUAUACUACUUUGCUAAAGCGGCAGAAAACCUAUUCUCUCCAGAUGCUGCAAUAAAGGAAUUCCCUACGGAUCUGUGAACCGACUAAAUUACUUCCAGAGAUGACCAGGACAGUUUCUUAGCAAACACAAGGCGGAUUCCAUUGACAGUUCUCAUACCAGCAACGGAAGGCACGUUAUUCUAAGGAUUGACAGAUUGAGAGGUCUUUCUUGAUUUUGUGGGUGGUGGUGCAUGGCCGUUCUUAGUUGGUGGAGUGAUUUGUCUGCUUAAUUGCGAUAACGAACGAGACCUUAACCUUUAAAUAGGUCCAUUAGCUUUUUGCUGAAAGGAACUUCUUAAAGGGACCACUAAAAAAAAUCAUUUGAAGUUUGAGGCAAUAACAGGUCUGUGAUGCCCUUAGACGUUCUGGGCCGCACGCGCGCUACACUGACGGAGGCAACGAGUUGACCUUAGCCGAAAGGUUUGGGAAAUCUGUAAACUCCGUCGUGAUGGGGAUAAAGCAUUGAAAUUAUUGCUUUUGAACGAGGAAUUCCUAGUAAGCGUAAGUCAUUAACUUGCGUUGAUUACGUCCCUGCCCUCUGUACACACUGCCCGUCGCUACUACCGAGGAAUGGCUUAGUGAGAAUUUUGGAGAGAUUUAUUUAGAGGCGACUCUUUUUAAAUUUCAAAGUUAUUCAAACUUGGUGAAUUAGAGGAAGUUAAAGUCGUAACAAGGUUUCCGUAGGUGAACCUGCGGAAG